UAGGAUGUAGUGUAAUUGGUAGCACGAAGAUUUUUGGGUUCUUAAAGUUUAGGUUCGAUUCCUAUAAUUCUAG
rnacentral:tRNA from 1 species